GAUGGAGGGUUUGAUCCUGGCUCAGGACGAACGCUGGCGGCGUGCCUAAGGCAUGCAAGUCGAGCGGUAGCUCCUAUUGGUUUAUGCCGAUAGGAGUGAGAGCGGCGCACGGGUGAGUAACACGUAGGUAACCUACCCCUAGAGAGGGGGAUAACACCUCGAAAGGGGUGCUAAACCCCCAUAUACUUACCGAGCGAUAUGCUCAGGUAAGGAAAGAGUAUAGAGGGGNAACCCUCUAUGCUGCUCUGGGAUGGGCCUGCGGCCUAUCAGCUAGUUGGUGGGGUAAUGGCCCACCAAGGCUAAGACGGGUAGCCGGCCUGAGAGGGUGGUCGGCCACACUGGGACUGAGACACGGCCCAGACUCCUACGGGAGGCAGCAGCCGGGAAUCUUCCGCAAUGGGGGAAACCCUG
rnacentral:rRNA from 1 species